AGGAAUUGCUGAUGGAUCAGUGAGCCUGUGUUCAUGCCAGUGAGCUGCUGUGGCUCAGAUACUGAUACUUUCUUUCCAAACAGCAUAAGAAGUGAUUGAGCCACAAGUAUACUGAAGGAAGGGCUCCCUCGAGUUCUGGUGUGAAGAGAUAAAUCACCAGGCCCAGUCGAAGAAUAUCAGCUGCUGCUUCAGGUGACCUAUAGAGAUUCCAAGGAGAAAAGAGAUUUGAGAAAUUUUCUGAAGCUCUUGAAGCCUCCAUUAUUAUGGUCACAUGGGCUAAUUAGAAUUAUCAGAGCAAAGGCUACCACAGACUGCAACAGCCUGAAUGGAGUCCUGCAGUGUACCUGUGAAGACAGCUACACCUGGUUUCCUCCCUCAUGCCUUGAUCCCCAGAACUGCUACCUUCACACGGCUGGAGCACUCCCAAGCUGUGAAUGUCAUCUCAACAACCUCAGCCAGAGUGUCAAUUUCUGUGAGAGAACAAAGAUUUGGGGCACUUUCAAAAUUAAUGAAAGGUUUACAAAUGACCUUUUGAAUUCAUCUUCUGCUAUAUACUCCAAAUAUGCAAAUGGAAUUGAAAUUCAACUUAAAAAAGCAUAUGAAAGAAUUCAAGGUUUUGAGUCGGUUCAGGUCACCCAAUUUCGAAAUGGAAGCAUCGUUGCUGGGUAUGAAGUUGUUGGCUCCAGCAGUGCAUCUGAACUGCUGUCAGCCAUUGAACAUGUUGCCGAGAAGGCUAAGACAGCCCUUCACAAGCUGUUUCCAUUAGAAGACGGCUCUUUCAGAGUGUUCGGAAAAGCCCAGUGUAAUGACAUUGUCUUUGGAUUUGGGUCCAAGGAUGAUGAAUAUACCCUGCCCUGCAGCAGUGGCUACAGGGGAAACAUCACAGCCAAGUGUGAGUCCUCUGGGUGGCAGGUCAUCAGGGAGACUUGUGUGCUCUCUCUGCUUGAAGAACUGAACAAGGUGAGGCAUUUUCACUGUGUAGACUUGCCCUGGUCUUGAGUUUCAGAGUGGCAAUAUCCCAGUGAGCAUGGCUAGGUGGAGGGUAAGUAUACCUACGUGCAUCAUUGGCCAGUAUGCAAAGAGCAAGGAUGACAUCAGACCCUGGUGAACCCGUGGAGUCGUGCAUGAGUGGUAGCGUCUGGGCAGCAGAGUCUAGGUUGCAGCUCAAAAGACAGAGUUGAUAGUUUUGUCAGGCAGAGGUGUUGUGGAGGAGUGUAUCAUUGCUGAGGAGGUCUAUGAUGGAUGGUAGAGCAGCAACUAAGCUGGCCUCAGAAGUCCAGAAGACCUGGGAAUUAAAGAGAAGAGUGAAGGUGUGAGUCAUAAGCCAGCAGGCUUAGUACAAGUAAGGAUAUAUCUAUACCAGAAAUUAGGGCAAGGAGUGGGUCAGACAAAGGUGAACCAUAUAAAAUGACUGAACUGCAAUGGACCUUAAGGGGCAUCUGGUUUACCAACCUCAUUUUGCAGAUCAGAAAACAAAAGACCAAGGGGCCAAUAGUUCCUCUGGUAGCAAUAGUUUUGAAUUAGAAGCAUGGUCACUUGAUUCCUAGUCCAGUGCUGUAUUAGUCUGUUCUCACAUUGUUAUAAAGAACUAUUUGAGACUGGGUAGUUUAUAAAGAAAAGAGGUUUGACUCACAGUUAUGCAGGAUGUACAAAAGGCAUAUCUGGGGAGGCCUCAGGAAACUUACAAUCAUGGUGGGAGGCGAAAGGGAAGUAAGCACAUCCUUAUAUGGUGACAGGAGAGAGAGAGAGAGAGAGAGAGAGAAAGAGAGAGAUGGAGAGAGAAUGGGGGAGAUGCUACACACUUUUAAACAACCAGAUCUUGUGAGAACUGUAUCAUGAGACAGCACUUGGGGGAUGGUGCUAAACCAUUAGAAACCACCUCCAUGAUCCAAUCAUCUCCCACCAAGCCCCACCUCCAACAUUGGGAAUUAUAACUCGACAUAAGAUUUGGGUGGGGACACAGAGCCAAACCACAUCAGGUGCUAUGCCCUCCACAUGAUGCUCUCUUAGGAAGGUUCAAGUAUUAAGACAAGUAAGACAGAAAGAAGGAAAUAAAUAUCUAGGAAUCAGAAGAACUCAAGUCACAGAAAAGAAGGACCCCAAGACCAGUUCACAGAUACUGUUCAGCAAGUAGAUUUCCAUAUUGAGCAGAACUUCUAUUCCAGCCAGAGACCUUGCUUCUGCUGCUGCAGUAGAAAACCCCAGAAUAGUAUUCAUCAGAGGACUGUGGAAUGUUUACUUCUCCCUUUGUGGAUCUCAGUUUCCUCAUCUGUAAACUGGGGAAGGGGAUUAGAUUCUGGGGUUUCUUCUUGCUCUUGCCUUCGUUGCCUCAAUUCUGGACAUGAGCAAUAGUUGAGACUAGUUCGCUCCAGGCAGAUCCCAGGUGGCUUGAACAGAAAACAGCAUUGUCAGUUGAGAAGAACAAGAAGGAAAAUGGCGGGCACUUGGGCGCCUGAGUGGACUUAAUGUUGAGUGGAAGGGGACUGCCUUCCUUUGCUGCUUUCCAAGUUAGCCUGGUGUAGUAAAAGUAGAUGGGAGCCUCAAGAAAGAAGUAAAAUUCCAAAUCUAGGGCCGGGUGCAGUGGCUCAUGCCUGUAAUCCUAGCACUUUGGGAGGCCAAGCCGGGCAGAUCAUGAGGUCAAGAGUUCAAGACCAGCCUGGCCAACAUGGUGAAACCCCUGUUUCUACUAAGGAUACAAAAACAAUUAGCUGGGCGUGGUGGUGCAUGCCGGUAAUCCCAGCUACUUGGGAGGCUGAGGCAGGAGAAUCCCUUGAACCUGGGAGGCAGAGGUUGCAGUGAGCUGAGAUCAUGCCACCGCACUCCAGCCUGGCUGACAGAGCAAGACUCCAUCUCG
rnacentral:lncRNA from 10 species